rnacentral:lncRNA from 1 species
AUGAUCAGUGGCCUGCUGAAGCUCAGCACACAACACUGGGGCAGCGAUUUGGAGACACCUCCAGCAGAAGCUGCAAUGUGCCUUCUGAGCUUGUGCUGCAAGGACAACACACAGGACCUUGCUGUCCCCUGCUCGGUGACAGCGUUUGUCUCCACACGAGCACAAAGCCACAAGGCAGCCUGCCAGCUGACACCUUCCCCAGGGAGCUGGGAAGGAGGGUCAGAGUGUGAUGAGCUGCCCUGCUCCCACCUGAGGGCUCGCCAGCAGACCGGGAGAAGCCCUGCAGCAUCAGGCAUUAAUGGAACUAUUUGGGGACAGAAAAGCUGGAGUAAGAUGGAGACAGAAGUCCACCUUGGUGUGCACAAACCAGGACAAAGUACAGUGAGAUCACUAGAAGCUGGCUGCUAAAUCUGAUCUGUCCUGCACUUUGGGAACAGCAAGGCACCACAGAAGUCAUCAACAAGCUGCAAGGGUGGCUGCCAACCCAGAGCCAGGAGUGUGGCUUGAGCAGGUGGAGGGCUGGAGCUGGUGGAGGUAACACUUCACUCUGGGUUUUGGUCCCUGAAUGAGAGGGCUGGACAGCAUUAGCUAUCACUGACCUGGAGCCAGCAUCUGAAUGACUGCAGAAGAAGCUCACCCUCGCUGGAGCCCUGCCUGGGCACGGUUUCAGGCACAGCUGCCAGCAGGCUCAUGCAGUUGGCCUGUCCUGUGUAAUGCUCAGCACAAGUGAUGUUGGACUGACACUGCUCCACAGCCCUGGCCACAGCAUCAG